GUCCCCAACCUCUGGGAUCUAAAACCUGAUGAUCUGAGGUGGAGCUGAUAUAAUAAUAAUAGAAAUAUUCAAGUGGGGCAAAGGAAAUAACCUUUUAAAACUCAGGCAAACUGGGUGUUUGUCUUGUAACCAGUCAGAGGAAACAUUG